GGCUACCUCUCACUAACACAUGUAUCAGGUAACUCUAUCCAACAACUCAGAUAUCAGGUAACUCUAUCCACCAAAGGCUUGGACAUGUCCGGGGUAAUCACCCAAUAUUUUUGCCUCACGCUAGGAAGCAGACUGCACUUCUUGAUCACCACCUUUUGCUCACAGGAGUAAAUUCAGCUAGGAAAAAGAAAUAGUUGAUGUUCAAGUUCAAGCAUCAAGCUGAAAUAUUAGUCCAUUAUAAACAAGCUCUGCCAUAGCACGUACAUUAACAUUCAUCAGUGAGAAGAGUCGAAUAAAACCUCACUGUGCUAAACAUAAAAUGAUACCACUUCAUUAAGCCAUUACAAGCGUACAUAUAUAGUGCAAAAUGACUAAUGAAUGCGCGUACUUUGCAAGGUCGGAUGCCCUUUAGCUGGAUCCACUGCUGGCCUAAAAUAUCUUAUCUUAGAUGGUAUAGACUAAAAAAUGCAAGAUCCCCCUCAAAACUUGAAAUCUUUCUUCUUCGACUUGCCCUCUUUCUCCUGCAUCUUGCGCUUCUUCUUCCUCUCAUUCUGCAGCAGUUUGACCAUGUCAGAACUAGUAUGCAUUAAAAAUACCAAUGACAAGAAGCAUAGGCCGACUGAGAAAGACUAUAUGAAAGAGACAAGAUGAAAUAAUCACACACCUCUGCUACCAUGUCACUGAAGUCCUCUCUCUGACUACGCAACUUCUCCUCU
rnacentral:lncRNA from 1 species